rnacentral:SRP_RNA from 1 species
CCCACAAGUCUUUGUGUACUGCAUCGAGCCGCGGCGCUUGAUGUACACCCUGUCAGAUGUCACUGAGCUGGAACUUGCUGACAUGGCUUUCAGCCGAUGUGGUUCUCGCCUGUAUACACUCUCUCGG